CAACGUGACUUCGAUUUGAAAGGACAGGAAUACAACAGGCCAAUAUGAACACAAAGGUUCUAGUAUUUCUGGUUGUUGUGGGACUUCUGACUCUUCAAGUCGCAAACGUUGAAGGCAUCUGCUACACGUACGUGUGCCGCCGACGCUGCGUGUAUUCGGCGCCUCGCUACGAGGAGUACGCCUUCCGGUACCUGUGGACGCGCGCAUGCGGACAGGUCGCCGUCGAGCAGUACGGAAUCAAGGCCUGUUGUGUCACUUGGGGGCGAUACUAGGACCGCGUCCUUGGUGGUUCUUGACGUUCCCUGCGUGUGCGCGGGGACCGGCCAUUCUGAACACCGACGGCGCUUGGUGAUGUCUUGGAGAAAAUGAUUAUUUUUAUUUAUGAAGUAUGCAAGUAUGCGAGAGAAGUCUACAAUCCUCAUUAAUUUAUGUCACAUGUGGCUGUUUCCAGAAAUAAACUGCUACCCAAGCUUUUA